CCUACGGGUGGCAGCAGUGGGGAAUAUUGGGCAAUGGGCGCAAGCCUGACCGAGCAACGCCGCGUGAGGGAAGAAGGCUUUCGGGUUGUAAACUUCUUUUCUCAGGGACGAAGGAAGUUACGGUACCUGAGGACUCAGCCACAGCUAACUACGUGCCAGAAGCCGCGGUAAUACGUAGGUGGCAGCCGUUAUCCGGAUUUAAUGGGGGGAAAGGGCGGGUAGGCGGGAGCGCAAGUCAGAUGUGAAAACUCAGGGCUCAAACCUGAGUCUGCAUUUGAAACUGUGUUUCUUGAGUGCAGGAGAGGAGAGUGGAAUUCCGUGUGUAGCGGUGAAAUGCGUAGAUAUACGGAGGAACACCAGUGGCGAAGGCGGAUCGCUGGAUAGUAACUGACGCUGAGGCGCGAAAGCGUGGGGAGCAAACAGGAUUAGAUACCCCAGUAGUC
rnacentral:rRNA from 1 species